GGGCGGUUAGCUCAGCGGUAGAGCACUACCUUGACAUGGUAGGUGUCACAGGUUCGAACCCUGUACCGCCCACCA
rnacentral:tRNA from 1 species